GAUCUUCGUUGCACUCUGCACUUUUCGAGUCGGUCGACGCCAACUUCGGCGACUGCGCAGAGCAACAGAUGGCGGAGGAGAAAUACCCUUCCUCUCCAUAUCAUCUCUACCGAGAUGCCGAAGCAUUCGUGCCUGCGGAAACCCAUCGGUGCUCCGUGUGUCUGUGCAUCAAAUUUGUAAUCUUUGUUUGAUGUUCUAUUUUGUUUUGGAUUCGAGCAAGAAAGAAAGAAAUGCACGAACUAUAUCACAAGGACAAAGGCGGUUGAUUAUCUUCAAGUUAAUCAGGAAAUUAUGCAUUCUAAAAGGCAUAUUUCCGCGAGAACCAAAGAGGACGGUGGAGGGGAACCAGAAAAUUUACUAUCGCAUGAAGGAUGUCAUGUUCCUUGCGCACGAGCCUCUGCUUCAUAAGUUGAGAAACAAUGAAACGCCUGCAAGCAGCAGCUAAAAACAAGUGUUACCAAUGCCUCUAGAAAAUCAAGAUCUAAAUGUUCCUCAGGUUCUUUUGGUUGAAGGAAUAGUUGAUAAGACAGAAGCUAACGAAGCUGCUGAAAGGAAUCGAAAGUGUAUUACAGCCCAUGAUGCUUGAGAAGCAGUACCAUGAUGAAUUGAACAUGGAGCUUCGAGGAAUAACAUACUCUUCUCUGGCAAAUGUGAACUUGGAUAACAUAGUAGACAAUGGCAAUGAAGACUGUUACUUGUGCGGAAGAACCCAACGACCUUUCACAGAUCAGUCAAGAAAGGAAAAAGGAUAAGGUUAAAGCUUUUGCAUGGGCGGGAGAAAAAUGCAGAAGCCAGAAAAGAGCUUUGAUUUGUUCUGCUAAAUAUACUUACUGCCUGUGGCUCCAUAACAAGUCCCCUUCUCAGCUUUGGCAAAGAUUUUUCCAUAGUAUCAAUAAGUUAUAACAAGAACGAUAGCUCGACACAAAUGCUACUUGUUUUAGAUCAUCUUUUUCAUUAUGUUUUUCAUGGAGAUGCCAGUGACUGUAUUCUAUGCAAAAUCUGUAAUAGAGAUUUAUAACAUUUUGCUGUCCUAAAAUUCAAAUUGACAA